GGUUCGAUUAUGGCUCAGAUUGAACGCUGGCGGGAUGCUUUACACCUUGCAAGUCGAACGGCAGCACGGACUUCGGUCUGGUGGCGAGUGGCGAACGGGUGAGUAAUGUAUCGGAACGUGCCUAGUAGCGGGGGAUAACUACGCGAAAGCGUAGCUAAUACCGCAUACGCCCUUCGGGGGAAAGCGGGGACCUUCGGGCCUCGCACUAUUAGAGCGGCCGAUAUCGGAUUAGCUAGUUGGUGGGGGUAACGGCUCACGCAAGGCGACGAUCCGUAGCUGGUUUUGAGAGGGACGACCAGCCACACUGGGACUGAGACACGGCCAGACUCCUACGGGGAGGCAGCGGUGGGGAAUUUUUGGACAGUAGGGGAAACCCUGGUCCAGCCAUCCCGCGUGUGCGAUGAAGGCCCUUCAGGUUGUAAAGCACUUUUGGCAGAAAGAAACGGCACGGGAUAAUACCCCGUGCAACUGACAGCCACCUACAGAAUAAGCACCGGCUAACUACGUGCCAGCAGCCGCGGUAAUACGUAGGUGCAAGCGUUAAUCGGAAUUACUGGGCGUAAAGCGUGCGCAGGCGGUUCGGAAGAAAGAUGUGAAAUCCCAGAGCUUAACUGGAACUGCAUUUUUAACUACCGAGCUAGAGUGUGUCAGAGGGAGGUGGAAUUCCGCGUGUAGCAGUGAAAUGCGUAGAUAUGCGGAGGAACACCGAUGGCGAAGGCAGCCUCCUGGGAUAACACUGACGCUCAUGCAAAGCGUGGGAGCAAACAAGGAUUGAUACCCUGGUAGUCCACGCCCUAAACGAUGUCAACUAGCUGUUGGGGCCUUCGGGCCUUGGUAGCGCAACUAACGCGUGAAGUUGACCGCCUGGAGGCUGUUCGCAAGAUUAAAACUCAAAGGAAUUGACGGGGACCCGCACAAGCGGUGGAUGAUGUGGAUUAAUUCGAUGCAACGCGAAAAACCUUACCUACCCUUGACAUGUCUGGAAUCCCGAAGAGAUUUGGGGGUGCUCGCAAGAGAACCGGAACACAGGUGCUGCAUGGCUGUCGUCAGCUCGUGUCGUGAGAUGUUGGGUUAAGUCCGCAACAGGCACAACCCUUGUCAUUAGUUGCUACAGAAAGAGGCACUCUAAUGAGACUGCCAGUGACAAACCGGAGGAAGGUGAGGAUGACGUCAAGUCCUCAUGAAAGCCCUUACGCGGUGGGAGCUUCACACGUCAUACAAUGGUCAGGACAGAGGGUCGCCAACCGCGAGGAGCCAAUCCCAGAAACCCGAUCGUAGUCCGGAUCGCAGUCUGCAACUCGACUGCGUGAAGUCGGAAUCGCUAGUAAUGUGAGAUCAGCAUGUCGCGGUGAAUACGUUCCAGGUCUUGUACACACCGCCCGUCACACCAUGGAGUGGGUUUUACAGAAGUAGUUAAGCCUAACCGUAAGGAGGGCGAUUACCACGGUAAAGGGAUUCAUGACUGGGGUGAAGUCGUAACAAAGGUAAUAUUUCACCUGAUGCUCCAGAACUAAUGCGUAACUUA
rnacentral:rRNA from 1 species